rnacentral:sRNA from 1 species
UCAUUAGUUUUCUAGGGUUCCGUAGCUAUAAAUGCUAGACUGGUCCAAGAGAAGGCACUUAUAAUUGACUAUGUACACAGAAGUAUAAAAGCCUAGAAGAU